GUGGGGAAUCUUGCGCAAUGGGCGAAAGCCUGACGCAGCCAUGCCGCGUGAAUGAUGAAGGUCUUAGGAUUGUAAAAUUCUUUCACCGGGGACGAUAAUGACGGUACCCGGAGAAGAAGCUCCGGCUAACUUCGUGCCAGCAGCCGCGGUAAUACGAAGGGGGCUAGCGUUGCUCGGAAUUACUGGGCGUAAAGGGCGCGUAGGCGGACAGCUUAGUCGGAGGUGAAAGCCCAGGGCUCAACCUUGGAAUUGCCUUUGAUACUGGCUGUCUUGAGUUUGGGAGAGGUGAGUGGAACUCCGAGUGUAGAGGUGAAAUUCGUAGAUAUUCGGAAGAACACCAGUGGUGAAGGCGACUCACUGGCCCAAUACUGACGCUGAGGCGCGAAAGCGUGGGGAGCAAACAGGAUUAGAAACCCGUGUAGUCC
rnacentral:rRNA from 1 species